GAUGAACGCUGGCGGCGUGCCUAAUACAUGCAAGUUGAGCGCUGAAGGGAGGUACUUGUACCAACUGGAUGAGCAGCGAACGGGUGAGUAACGCGUGGGGAAUCUGCCUUUGAGCGGGGGACAACUUCUGGAAACGAAUGCUAAUACCGCAUAAAAACUUUAAACACAAGUUUUAAGAUUGAAAGAUGCUAUUGCAUCACUCAAAGAUGAUCUCGCGUUGUAUUAGCUAGUUGGUGAGGUAAAGGCUCACCAAAGCGAUGAUACAUAGCCGAACCGAGAGGGUGAUCCGCCACAUUGGGACUUGGACACCGCCCAAACCUCUACGGGAAGCAACAGUAGGGGAUCUUCGGCAAUUGAGCGAAGUCCUGCCGGGCAACGCCGCGUGAGUGGAUGAAGUUUUCGGAUCGUAAAACUCUGGUGGUAGGGAAGAACGUUAGUGGUAGUGGAAAGCGCAUCAAGUGACGGUAACUACCCAGAAAGGGACGGCUAACUACGUG
rnacentral:rRNA from 1 species